UUAGACCCCUUUUGACAAGGUAGUGGGUCCCUGCUGGGCCACUCCUUGCUUCCUGAUCACAUUUUCCCUUUAUUUUGCAGAUCUCACUGGCUAACAAAAAACAAGGGAUGCCCUCCAGAUGAAAGGUCAAUUUUUGACUUUCACCAAAGUGAAAAAUAAGAGAUUGACAUAUUUGCAGUGGACAGUAAAAUAUUGAUUAAUUUGCAGAAGAUUUAAUUUGAUAGAGCAGCCAAUUUUACUAAAAAUUUCUCCACAUAAUUCCUCAAGCAGAGAGGCAAAAGUUGGAAAUAAGAUGCCCCCUAUCAGAAUCUUUUUGCAUAAAUUAG
rnacentral:misc_RNA from 1 species